rnacentral:rRNA from 1 species
UACGGGGGGAGCAAGCGUUGUUCGGAUUUACUGGGCGUAAAGGCGCGUAGGCGGCCAGCACAAGUCAGUUGUGAAAUCUCCGGGCUUAACUCGGAAAGGUCAACUGAUACUGUGCGGCUAGAGUGCAGAAGGGGCAACUGGAAUUCUCGGUGUAGCGGUGAAAUGCGUAGAUAUCGAGAGGAACACCUGCGGCGAAGGCGGGUUGCUGGGCUGACACUGACGCUGAUGCGCGAAAGCCAGGGGAGCGAACGGG